UUUUAAUUAAAUUUGCCUGCGCAGUGAUAAGCAUUUAAAAGCUAUUGGAGUGGUUCGAUUGCGCUUCAGCUUUACGUCAAGUCUUAUCUGGCCGCAAAUUAUACCUUUCUGAAAGGCGCUUAUACAGUCAAUCGUCUGAUAAUGCUGACGUACCGGCGUUCGCGGAAGAAACGUGUCUGUUAUUUUAAUUAUAGAAUACAAAUAAUUAUGGGAUAAUAAAGUGAUCAGCCUAAAUUAACUAAACAUCAUGCCAAUGAUCCGGAAGCUUCUAUUAAAACUGUGUACAAGGGGAAAAGCCGGCGAACAGUAGGCCUACAUGUCACCGAGAAGUGGGGCAGUAGGCAAAAGCUUGGAACGCAAUCACAAGAACUUGCAGAAGUUCAGAUUGAGAAUGAGAAACCAGAAACAAACUUAAUUGCUAACUGUACUACAAAUAGCAGUUCAGUAUCAGACGUAGAUACUUCGGUUACAUUUGAUGAACUGUACAGGUGUUGUGAUUGCUGUUCAUGGGAGACUACGUGCCUCACAUGCUUGCGGUUGAGGCAUUAACAUCCUCAUUUGCAUUUGGAAGAACAUGGCUUACCUUUCUUUCAUUGAUGAUGAUGAGGCUUGGAAAUUGAAUGACCAUUCCUGUAGCACUACUUACCUGAAAAAACUCGUGGUCGUGGAUGAUAAAGGUCGACAGCAUUUGAAGACCCUGCAAUUUUGCAAGUGUGAAGUUGAAGCUGUACGCUUGAUUAGGUUCAACCUGUGGCCAUCUUCAACCAAAUUUCCAAACGUGGCAUUUCACUUUGACUUCAUGCGCUGGUUAUGUGGUCUUCUUCUUGAAAGCUCGGUGUCAUUUAAAAGUUUCUGCUCCGCAUUAGACGCGUGGACAUCAAAGCACAUGAAGACAUAUAUUCAUCACCCUGUCAAAGAUUUGUACAAAGUGCUUGUAGGAGGAACAGCCGAUGAAUUUCGACAUUUUAUCUACCAAAUGGAAAACAUCCACGAUGAUGGAUCCAAAUGUCCAGCUUGUUAUGAGGAUUCUCCCUCCCUGAUAAGCUUGCUAGAGCAGAGGAUAUAGAAAAAAAAGCAAGGAGGCUCUUCAAGAAAUUUUGGAACCUUUUGCAGGAGUCAACUGAAUGUCUACAGGAAUGGAUAGAUUAUGAGCGGGUUGUGUGUAUCCGCAGCAAAUCAACUGAAAAUCACUCCUUGUCACCUGCUGAAGAGUAUUGUCUAGUCCUGGAGGAGCUAACAAAAUACAGGGGUGUGUUUGCGACGGAUGUAAACAAAGAUAAGAAAAGGCUAGAGACAAAACUGAAAAAGAAAGGGAAGAAGGCUGGUGUCAAAUGGGACUCAACAAAUGUUGAUUACCUGCGGACACUCAAGACAGCACAAGAGAAACUAAGACUUCAGAUACUGGAGACCCUUCAACAGACCACUGCAGAGAGGCUGUUUUUGUUAGAUUUAAUAAAAAAGUAUGCAAGAGGACAAGCUGUAGCCAUAAGAUUGGGCAAGCAACAAAAAGAUAAGAGAACAGCUGUCGUUGUACAAUGCGGUUGGCGGGGAAGUCGUUAAAAUGCCGACACAUUUGUCAUUUGAAGAUGUAAAGUCGUGUGACAGCAAGCUGUGGGACAUUUUGAAGUCAUCAGAUGUAGGUGCUUGGAGGACCAGUGUGCCUGUGUCUGUAAAACAGCAAGCUGUUCGCCUGUUUUGCAUGACACAGAGAGCUGCAGAAGAAAAGGAACUUUUGAUUUCAGAAAUGAAGUCAACAUUACAUUUCUUUUCCAAUCAACAUUCAGGUCUUUUAAACAAGGUCCUGGAUAAUGUUAAAGGAGACAUGCCAGUCAUCAUCAAAGAAGGGCUUUAUGUGGAAAUGAAAUUUAAUUCAUUACUGAAGGCAUUCCAGUCAUAUCUCCCAGACUUAACACUGACUUUGCUUUCUGAUUUUGCACAAAAGGUUGGUCUAACCAGCGUUCAAGAGGCUCGUAUUUCUGAAAUAAAUUAUGGAAACUUACCAGAAUACGAGUUAGAACCCUCUGAACCAACUGAUGUAAUACUCAGUGAUGAGGAUUUUACAGACAGUGAUAGUGACAAUGACUCUGAUGGUGACAAUUAAAUGUUUAAAAGACAUCAUUGACUCAAACGCAAUAUUGUCUUAAUUGUCUCAAUUGAAUUGUUCGCAAUAAGUGUUCUAAGAUAAGACAAACAACUGUGCUAUGGCUUUUUAAAUGCUCUUGUUUGUAGCUCAACUGGUAGCUCAACUGAGCACAAUGUGAGCUUUUGUGAUCGCCUUUUGUCCGUCGUUGGUUGUAUAACACAAAAGCUCACAUUGUGCUCAGUUGAGCAAAAUCAGAAAGCAAAGUCAGUGUUUACUCUGGGAGAUCUGGGAGAUAUGACUGGAAUGCCUUCAGUAGUGAAUUACUUGAAUCACUUUCCAGCCAUAUCAGUAAAAAGGUGAUUGGCAUUUAUUUCGUAUUUAAAUUCGCUUUAUAUAUCGACUUUUCUCCCCGCAAAUUUUGUUAGUGGAGCCCAAAUUAGGUCAUCCCGCUAGGAAAUUUCGCAGCGAGUAAAGUCGAGAUAUAUAUAGAGCGAAUAUAACUAUGAAAUAAACGCCAGUAUCUUUCUUGCUGGGGGGGGGGGGACUUAUUGUUUGCGCUCCGUGUGUCAGUCUGUCUGCGUGUGUCAGUCUGUCUGUCAGUCCGUCACACUUUUCUGGAUCCUGCGAUAACUUCAAAGUUCUUCAUAUUUUUUUAUGAAACUUGAAACGUGGACAGAUGGCUUAUAUGGAGAUUAUGCACGUCAAUUCAUUUUGUUCCUAUGUCAAAAAUUGUGGUUGCUAUGGCAACAAAUGUAAAAAAAAAAUAUAAAAAAAUUACUGACUGGUGGAGUUUUACCGGUAGGUGACCAUAUUGCUUGGCAAUCUCUUGUUCCAUAUAUACUGAAGUUGUUAUCCCCCGCCAUAGGCAGAGGGAUAUUGUUUUGGCAUUUUCCGUCCGUCCGUCCGGAGCCAUAUCUUGGAAGUGCUUUAUCGGAUUUCAUUGAAACUUGGUAUGUGUAUAAAUAUGGAUAAGAGGAUGAUGCACGCCAAAUGGCAUUGUACACAAUCUGUUAAUAACGGAGUUAUGGCCCUUUGUAUCUUGAAAAAAUGCUUUUUUGUGUGUCAGGAGCCAUAUUUUGGAAGUGCUUUGGCCGAUAUCAUUGAAACUUGGUAUGAGUAUAUAUAUAUAUUAUAUAUAUAUGGAUAAGAGGAUGAUGCAUGUCAAAUGGUGAUGAUGAUGCAUGUACACCAUCUGUUAAUAAAGGAGUUAUUGCCCUUUUUAUCUUGGAAAAAAAUGCUUUUUUGAUUGUCAAAUAUAACACUUGUGUCCAGAAGCAUAUUGGCUGGGGGAUAUCAAUUCAACGAAUUUGCUCGUUAUAAACUCACAUUUCAAUGACAAUUUAUGAUAUCUGUUUUCCAGCUGUAUACUGUAUCAUAUGUAAAUCAUGAUUGUGUUGGUAUGCUUGUUUCUUUUUGUUUUUAAAUGCCCCAUGCUACAAAACAAAUUGAAUUGUUCAUGCUUAUAUACUUUUGCCUCAAGUAUUCUCAUAAGGUCAUUUGAAAUGAUGAAACAGUUGCUAUUUUACGAGAACAAUGAUCAGAAUAGAUCAUCUAUAAUUUUGUUGUGUAAAGAGGAUCGAUAAUUGGUUAAUUCUAACUUGUACUAAUACUCAUACCAAUAUUAAAACAUACAUUAUUCCAAAGGAUAAACCAUUCUAGAAUUUUAAUACAGAGAAAACUAUUCCUUAUAGAUUCAUCUAUAAUUUCUUUGCGUAUAGGUGGUCGUAUACAGAAAUAAUUAAACUAACAAUCAUGUUCAGGUUGCUAUUAUCAUAAAUAUAUAUAUAAACUGACAAUCAUGUUCAGAUUACUAUUAUCACAAAUACAUGCAUAUAUAUUACAAUUUUAAAAGCAAUUGAUAUAUAUGUCUCAAAAGCUAUGUCCUUUUUACGUCCCAGUCUAUACUUGGGGACAUAUUAUAUUUGCCCUGUCUGUUUGUUGGUUUGUUUGCGUCAAACUUUAACAUUGGCCAUAACUUUUGCAAUAUUGAAGAUAGCAACUUGAUAUUUGGCAUGCAUGUGUAUCUCAUGGAGCUGCACAUUUUGAGUGGUGAUAGGUCAAGGUCAUCCUUCAAGGUCAAAGGUCAAAUAUAUGGGUGGGACCUAGUGUUUCACAAACAUAUCUUGUUUAGUAUAGACUUCAACAUAUCUUGGACAAUACAAUUUAAGAGCAAUUAAGAGGUUGAUGGUUCCACCCCUUUGCUUUUCUGUUGCUGAAAUGGUGUUAGUACAUACACCAAUCAAUUGUUAUUACACCGAUUUACCCUGUUAAUUUUUUUGUGUGUAUGGUGUCGCUUUGCUUCAGCUUGUUUUUGUGAUACUGUAGAUGUUGUUGAGUACUGAAAGGUAAUUAGUAAGGUAUGUAAAACUUAGCUUAACACUUAUGGACAAUGUUUUUGCAUAGUUUAAAUUGUAUGUAUGUUGAGUCAUGUUAUUAAUUGCUUGCAAUAAUUUUAUAUUGUGAAUCAAUGUAUGAAAAAUAAACCUGAAUGAAAUGAAAAUCA